rnacentral:rRNA from 1 species
AUGCUGCGGCCGCUCCGCCGCCUAUCCGGCCCCCUCCGCCGCUCCCUCUCCACCGCCUCUUGGCGCCCCGCCUGGGCCAUGAUUUACCGGAUCUCCACGGCGGAGGAGUCCGCGGCCGCGCGGGGCGUCUCCCUCGCGCUCGCCCCGCCCCCGCUCGCCUCCCGCGUCUCCGUCCCAAGGCACGCCUUCGGUCUCGACCCGCUCCCGGACACGGCCAGCUCCGACGGCCAGCCCUCCAACUUCUUCGACUUCGGCAGCCUGGCCCCCGAGCAGGGCUCUCCCCAACCGGCCAGCACCCUUGUCGAUAUCUUCGGCAGCGGCGUGCUCGCCGCGAGCAGCGACGGCCUCCUCCUGCUCGGCACGUUCAGGAACCGCGCCGACCCCACGGGGAUGUUCGAGUACCAGGGCCCGUCCACCGCCCCGUUCGAGGUCCUCGACCAGGCCUACGCUCGCUCCUACUGCUGCGACAUCAUGAGGCUCGCGCGCUUCGUCUGCAACCCCGUCACCGGCGAGAUGGCCCGCCUUCCGGACUUCGACGGCACGGAGGACGCCUUCACCGCCUCCACGGGCCUCCUCACCCAGGCCGACGGUGGGCACGGACCACCCAGGAGGUACGCCGCUGCGCAGCUCAGCUUGGUCGGCGAUGGGCGGCGUUUCCUGCUGCGCCGGCUCUCCUCGGAGACAGGGGAGUGGGACGAGCUGCUGCUGCCGUCCCCGCUACCGGCUGGGCGCCUCAUGUACAUGAACCACGAGGUGCUGGACUUCGGAGGGCGGCUCUGGUGGGUAGACGUGAGCUGGGGCGCCGUCAACGUCGACCCGUUCAGCGACCGGCCCGAGCUCUGCCUCGUCGAGCUGCCGGGAGACAUCAUGCUUCCUGACCAACAGGGCGAGGCAGAGAUGAGGCAGCUCCUCCAGCACAGGCGCAUGGGGGUCAGCGACGGCAGGCUGAGGUUUGUGGAGGUUUCCAAGGACGAGCCCUUCAACAUCAAGUCGUUCAUGCUUGAUGAACAGAGUGGCCGCUGGAUGCUGGAGCACAUGGUGACCUGGAAAACUCUCUGCCCCGGAGGCAAGGUGGCGCCUAUGAUUGCUGCUAUCGAUCCGAUGAGCGCCGACUUAGUGCAUCUCACUGUGCCCGUGGGCAAUGGAUAUUUUGUAAGUGUUGACAUGCGCUGGAAGAGGCCGGUUGAGUGUGUGGACUUCGGAAGUGGCGUUCAUCCAAGCAAGUGCAUCUCAAGUUUCGUUCUGCCAUGUGUGCUCCCCUCAUUUCUCGGAUCAAGCCCGAUUCCAGGCAAGAUGAACGCCGAGAAAAACAAGACUUUGGCAGAUGUUCUUGUUCGCUCAGACACCCCGUAG